rnacentral:lncRNA from 1 species
UGGUGGCUCGAGCGAGCAAGCGCAAUGCCGAUGUGUUGAUGUACACUGGACCGGGGCAACGACAUCUUACGUGCGUCCAUAUGGGCACAUCGAGAGAGCAGGCGCGUCACCGGUGUGUUGAGGUACACACGGGAGUCGGUCGUGGCGUUUAUAAGCCAACGCGGACUCGUGAAUCGGCCGCGUCAUUGUGAGUCGGCGCACACGGGAGAGUCGUCCAUGGUAUUAUAAGCCGGCGCACACGGGAGGCUCAACCGCGGUAUUUGUAAGCCGGUGCCGACAAGAGAGUCGACCGUGGUGUUUGAAGACGACGCGAAUGCGUAGGUUGGCCAUGCAGGCCGACACGUGUGAGCGAGCUCCAUAUUCACGAUAUUAUGUCACCUUGGUACUAGGCACUUGUCAUGUGUAUAAAAAUGUUCCUCAUGAAGUAAUUGUUCCGAGAGAAAUACGUAUUAAU